GGGUGAUAAGCUUGUGGUGCUGACUUCUUUAUGUACCCAUUCUGACAUGUGUAUAGUGUGCAGUGUAUUCACAUGGCCUCUUUUACCACCACCCACAGAUUCAUGAGAAAAACAAGUUACAUGCCGAAAGCUGCCAUCAUUGGCUGCCCACACAUGGGCAAAAAAAAAAGGAGGGUGUGGGGGACAAUGUGAAGGUGUUGCUGGCUGACGCCGCUGUAAGCCACUGUGGCUCAGGUGAGGCGGGUGCUCCUUUCAGGUCCAUCAUCUGCACUCUUCCCAUCAUACUCAUGAGAAACUCCCAGCGUGCCUUCAGGGCCAUCUCUCGCCAGUAACAGAUGUACAUCAUUGCUGUGCCUGUUGACAUAAAUAUGGAUCAAAGCAAGAAGCCUUUCGUGUUGAAUAUCAGCAUGCCUGAGUCUGUCUAGGAUCUGGAAAGAAGUAGGAUGGGAAGCUAAAAACCAGGAGGAGGAGGAGGAGGAGAGUUCUAUGUGUGGAAUGCUCCAAACCCAGGGCUGGUGUUGCGACUCGUCCCAGACUCUGUGCCGUCACCGCUGGGGUCUGUGGCCAGACCUCCGUAUGCCAGACCUGCUGGCUCCAGAUCCCGCCCAGGCCAGUUUAGCUGCAGUGCAGGACCCAUAAUUACAGCACGACACACUACUCCCCCCCUCCACUCCCUUCUCUCUUACUGUUAAAAAGUGCAGAAGAAAGAGAGAUGUACUGCUUAAUAGGAAUAUGAUGCAG
ensembl:lncRNA